CUAACGCACAUAACCCCCUCCCCUGGCCCCACACAAGCUUCCCCUGUUUUGCGACUCCGCCUUGCCGAAUCGUCCCCUUCUCCGUCGGCGGUGGAUCAACCCAGCGAGGGUGGGGAGGGGCAGCGGUCCCUGCCGGCCUAUUCGUGCUCACGGCCUCCCCUAUGUCCGCUGCUCCCUGCCUAUUCAUCCCCUUCUCCGCCAUGCGACGGUUCGACCUAGCGAGGGCGAGGAGAGUCAGCAGGCCGGCGGCGGGGAUAAGGGUGUUCUCGCCAGAGCACUACACGAUCUGCGACGGCGGCGGGAUGCUGGCAGCGCACGCCACACACCUAGCAAUCACUCCGCUCAACGUGCUCAAGGUCACGUGUUGUCGGCGACAGCGACCAAGGAUGCCCGGCUGCGGACAGCGACGGUGAGAUCUUUUCCUUCCAUCCUUCACUGCUUUCUUUCUUCAGAGCUUCGAGUGGAUGAGAUCCUUGAGAUACACUAGAGUUGUUCCAGGAUGUGAGGUUGAAGUGUGUGGCGUGCAGUUGGUUCUGAGGUUGGAGACUGCAAUGUUGUGGCUUUUGAAACCUUUUGUCUAAUUGCCAUGCUUCUCUGGUUUGAGAUUUCUCUUUUAGAUUCUUUUGAAUUGGCUUCAAGGUUUGGUUAUGUGAAGCUUUCCAUGUUAGCUAGUAUGAUCUUCACCAUGCUGAGAUGACAGUAAGAGAAACAAUCGACUUCUCUUCCAAGAUGCUGGGAACCAAUAAUAAAUUUGGUAAGACAUACUCUUGCAUAUCAAGCAUAUAGUGAGCACAUUUUGAACAUCACUGGAAUGUGCUGUAGCAGCACUACAGACACUGCAACUCAAGAAGGAAGUGCGUAUAGAAUGUUCGAGAUAUAUCAAUCUUUCCCUGUCAAAAAUACUGACAGAUUCCUGUUUGUUUGGAACAAUAAUUUUAGAGAUGCUAGGAGAAGCAGUAAGAAGAAAAAAAGGUGUCAUAAAUAAAGUGGACCAAUUCUAAGGCUGCCACCUUUGGAGAAGAAAGAAACCUUACAACAAACUACAUUAUCAAGGUCUAUUGGACUGAAUGGAUGAUGGCAUGAUGCAAACCAUCCAGGAAAGAGGCUGUCAGCUACUGGUACUUGUGAAUCAGGAUCAGAGCAAAUGGGACAGUAACAAGAGCACUAUAUACUUCCAUAGCAGUGCCUUUGGUCAAAUCAUAAGCUUGGCCUAUAAUAAUGCUCUGUAAUAGCAGCUUGAUGUAAUUGGCACUUGAUGUACUUAAAUCAUAUAGCAGAAUGUUUUAUCAUGCUCUGUAAUUGUCACUUGAUGUACUGAAAUCAUAUACCAGAAUGUUUUUUCAUGCUCUGUAUUGGCACUUGAUGUACUGAAUGAGUGAAGUUAUGGAAUCAGAAAAUGGAAAUGCAUUGCAACAACUAUGUUUUUAAUAAAAAA